rnacentral:rRNA from 1 species
GACGAACGCUGGCGGCGCGCCUAAUGCAUGCAAGUCGAGCGACGCAUGCUCGGUGGGUAACCACUGGGUAUGACGGAGCGGCGAACGGGUGAGUAACACGUGAGUAACCUGCCCCGAACGAUCGGGAUAGCCCGGGGAAACCCGGAUUAAUACCGAAUACCCUCUCUGGAUCGCAUGGUCCGGUGAGGAAAUGCCUUUGUGCUUCGGGAUGGACUCGCGGCCUAUCAGCUAGUUGGUGAGGUAACGGCUCACCAAGGCAACGACGGGUAGCUGGUCUGAGAGGACGAUCAGCCACACUGGGACUGAGACACGGCCCAGACUCCUACGGGAGGCAGCAGCAGGGAAUCUUGUCCAAUGGGCGCAAGCCUGAGACAGCGACGCCGCGUGAGGGAUGAAGGCCUUCGGGUUGUAAACCUCUUUCAGGAGGGACGAAAUUGACGGUACCUCCGGAAGAAGCCCCGGCCAACUACGUG